CUGCCCUCAAGCACGGCUUGUGUGUUGGGCCCCCGUCCCCGGUUUCCCCCGGGGACGGGCCCGAAAGGCAGCGGCGGCACCGCGUCCGGUCCUCGAGCGUAUGGGGCUUUGUCACCCGCUCUGUAGGCCCGGCCGGCGCCAGCCGACACCCAACUUUAUUUCUAA
rnacentral:misc_RNA from 1 species